rnacentral:lncRNA from 1 species
CCAUAAAGAAGGCAGGCACAAUGCAGGGCACAAACAGCUGACGCCAGGCAUUACAGUCCCAGCUCUCCCUCGGUGUAACUGCAGUAACGUGCAGACAGAGCCUGUCGUGUGGUGGCUGAGGACAAACCCACAGCGUGGCACGUGUGGGGACGGGGACACGGCCCAGGCUGGGAACCCACGGGGCCUGCAAGACAUUCCUGCUCUGCUCGCACCAGGGCUGAGCUACCUGCGAGGCCAUUGGCUCCACAGCCUCAGGCCUGAGGUCACUUACUGCAAAUUCAUUGUCUCGGGAAAUUUGGCUACAGAGAGAGCCUGCAGUGACAGCCAGCAGAGCACAUCACACAGGAGCCACGGAUGUUUUUUGGGCACUUAACACCAAAACCAAACCAGGCCAGAGAGCACUCUGUGUAGCAAAUAGCAGCAGGGGCUGUGCUGCAUCUGUAAGAGAAAUCCCUGACUGCUGUUAUGUAAGCUCCACUUGGCUGCUGGAAGGAGCUCCUGUCCGGCAGCAGAGCUCAGCCGGGCUCCACACUUUAAGGAAUAACAAAAAAUACAAGCUGGAAGUCACAACCAAAACUUGGGUGGUUACGGUGCCUGAUCCCUCCAGCAGGGAGGCACAAGCAGCCCGGCACAAGCCCUGCUGGAAGCGCAGCCCUGGCCGGUGCCUGGCCAGCCCAGCUGUACAAGGAGGGUCACAUCCGAAAACACUCUGCAGAGCCCAGACAGAGAGAAGUGAACAGGAGGGAGGCAAUGAUGCUGCCUGUGUCAACGCAAAGAGGAGUACAAAACGUCAGAGGUCUGCUGCAAGCGGCUGAAAAACUCACCGCCAGAAGAUGCUGGGAUGAUUACAGAGCUCCUGGAGGGUUUUCUUUGCUUAUUUUUCUUUCCUCACCAGCAACAUGCAGCAAAGAAAGAGGAAAGAUGAAACUGGGAAAAAAAAGUAGGUGCAGAAAGUGAACAGAUAUAUGAGAAAAGCAGAAAAGGAAUAGAAAAGGUUAAAGAACUAACUUGGACUCAAUCAGCUUAAAAGAGAGACCAGAGAGCAUAAUCUGUGCAAUUUAGUAAAAUAUGGGGAAGAGAGGAGAGCACACAGGUCACAUUUACUGACUGAGUCCUUCUGUGCUGCCCAAAAGCAUUGGAAAACUGCAAGCUCAGUUGAGAUAGGAGGGAGCAAACGCCUGUGAACAGGCAGACAGGCAGCAGCCAAACCUCAGUCAGGAGAGGCAGCAUUUCCAUUUCACAGUUUGCCUCCAUAAAAAGCCACAGGGACAAUGGAGACCAUCAAAACAGUUGUUUGCCAACACCUUCUAAAAGAAAUCCUUCAAUACCUAGGUAAUUUAAAACCUUGCCUUCCAUUCUCAAGGCCAGUUCAGGGCCCCAGGUUCCCAAAACCACUGGCAGGGUGCUGGCGAGUCGCUUGGAUCCUUCUGCCUGAAGUAGCAUCAGCUCUAAUAAACGCUCACCAGAAGCAUGCUG